rnacentral:rRNA from 1 species
AAGAGACAGCAGCCGCCGCGGGAAUACGAAGGGGGCUAGCGUUGUUCGGAUUAACUGGGCGUAAAGGGUGCGUAGGCGGAUUUUUAAGUCAGGGGUGAAAUCCCAAGGCUCAACCUUGGAACUGCCUUUGAUACUGGGAAUCUUGAGUCUGGGGGAGGUGAGUGGAACUGCGAGUGUAGAGGUGAAAUUCGUAGAUAUUCGCAAGAACACCGGUGGCGAAGGCGGCUCACUGGCCCGGUACUGACGCUGAGGCACGAAAGCGUGGGGAGCAAACAGGAUUAGAUACCCCAGUAGUCCCUGUCUCUUAUAC